UACGAAGGGGGCAAGCGUUAAUCGGAAUUACUGGGCGUAAAGCGUGCGCAGGCGGUUUUGUAAGUCUGAUGUGAAAUCCCCGGGCUCAACCUGGGAAUUGCGAUGGAGACUGCAAGGCUUGAAUCUGGCAGAGGGGGGUAGAAUUCCACGUGUAGCAGUGAAAUGCGUAGAGAUGUGGAGGAACACCGAUGGCGAAGGCAGCCCCCUGGGUCAAGAUUGACGCUCAUGCACGAAAGCGUGGGGAGCAAACAGG
rnacentral:rRNA from 1 species